ACAGACCGCCAAACGGACAGGGUUUCCCCUGUACGUGGACAGAGUCUCCCUUGUACGUCCAAGGCGUCACAAUCCAUACAAUGCACGAGGUUUCAAUCAGGAACAGCAUACACGCAAAGAUUGCAUAAGGAAGGUAUCGAAAUCAUAAAUACAUCUAUGCUAUUACAAGCAUUCAACUCACAUACAUUACAUCACAUAUUACACUUUUUAUUCUCUUUUUAGCUUCCAAAUACAAUCUUGUUCUUAACAUAAUUAUUACAACAUUGUUCAUUUCAUUUCUAUACCCCUAAGCUAAGAUGACUUGGGGUACUGCUAUCUGGUCUCAGUGAUAGGACGCUAACUAUGGAGCUACGCCUUUUCCUCGCGCCGCUGCGCCGCUCGCGUGUGAACCUGUAACCCCUAAAAACAACACGGAGGUGAGAACUAUUGUCCAUAAUUCUCAGUGGGUACGGCCACCCAAAGGAAGAGCUCGACCCACCAAGUCCAAAGGAGGCACUGCAAACAUGUUAGUCCAACAAAUAUGCACAGAUAUAUAUAAUUUAUGCAACUAACAAUUAUCAUAUUCAUGCCUCACAAUAUGCAACAUGCGAAUCAUGCAACUUAUGCAAGUAGAUUAAUUGAUUAUACUCUUUACCAUUU
rnacentral:lncRNA from 1 species